CCCUCUUCCCAGGUCACACCCCACCAGGACCCCUCCCAGCCAUGCAGCACAGCUCCAUCCACUGGUUUCGGAAGGGUCUCCGGCUGCACGACAACCCAGCACUGCUGGCAGCUGCCACUGAUUGCUGCUGCCUCCACCCCCUCUUCAUCCUCAACCCCUCCAACAGCCAGGCAGGCACCAAUGCCCAGCGGUUCCUCCUCGAUGCCCUGCGGGACUUGGAUGGAAGCCUGCAGAAAAUCGGCUCCAGGCUGUUCGUGGUGCGGGGCUGCCCAGAGGAGGUGUUUCCCAGUCUCUUCCACGCCUGGGGGACAACACGGUUGACCUUCGAGGUGGACACUGAACCCUCUGCCCGCCAGCGUGAUGCCACCGUGGCCAAGCUGGCAGCACAGCAUGGUGUGGAGGUGAUCCAGGAGGUGUCCCACACCCUCUAUGACACUGAGAGGUGGGUGCCUGGUGCUGUCUCUUGGGGAUGUGAGAUCCAGCCCCAGUGCCAAGCCCGUCUCUCCCUCUCCCACCCCAGAGUCCUUGCCCUGAACGAGGGCAAAGCCCCCCUGACCUACAAGCGCCUUCAGAGCCUCCUGGCAACCCUUGGACCCCCAGAGAAGCCAGCCCCAGCACUCACGCAGGAGCAUCUCCAGGGCUGCCACACCCCAUGCCAGGCCAGCCAUGACACCGACUAUGGGGUCCCCAACUUGGAGGAGCUGGGCCAGGACCCCACCAAUGUGGGUCCUCACCUCUACCCCGGCGGGGAGACAGCAGCACUCACCCGGCUCGAUGCACUCAUGGAGAGGACGGCCUGGGUGUGCAGCUUCCAAAAGCCCAGGACAGCGCCCACCUCACUGAGCCCCAGCACCACCGUCCUCAGCCCCUACCUCAAAUUUGGCUGCUUGUCAGUCCGCACCUUCUGGUGGCGGCUGGACCAGGUCUACCAAGGGCAGCAGGAGCACUCCCAGCCCCCCACCUCCUUGCAUGGGCAGCUCCUCUGGAGGGAGUUUUUCUACACAGCUGGCGCCAGCAUCCCCAAUUUCGACCGGAUGGCUGGCAACCCUGUCUGCCUGCAGGUCGACUGGGACAAUAAUCCACAGCACCUCCACGCCUGGAGGGAGGGCCAGACAGGCUACCCCUUCAUCGAUGCCAUCAUGACCCAACUGCGCACCGAGGGCUGGAUCCACCACCUCGCUCGGCACGCUGUUGCCUGCUUCCUCACCCGUGGGGACCUCUGGGUCUCCUGGGAAGAAGGGCUGAAGGUCUUUGAGGAGCUCUUGCUGGAUGCUGACUGGUCCCUCAAUGCUGGCAACUGGCUGUGGCUGUCAGGCAGUGCCUUCUUCCACCAGUAUUUCCGUGUCUACUCACCUGUUGCCUUUGGCAAGAAGACAGACCGGGACGGGGCGUACAUUCGAAAAUAUGUCCCCAUUCUCAAGGAUUUCCCUGCUGAGUACAUUUAUGAGCCCUGGAAAGCACCGCGGGCCGUGCAAGAGAGGGCAGGCUGCUUGGUGGGCACCCACUACCCCCAGCCCAUCGUGGAGCAUGGGGUGGCGAGCAAGAGGAACCUGGGGCGCAUGAAGUUGGCCCAUGCUCGGAAAGGUAACAAAUCCCCCGUGAGGCACCAAGCUCACUUCACAUCCAGCUGCCACCCCAGCUGCCUUUCUCUCCCCCAGGCACCAAGCGAGAGCCACUGGCUGGUCCCUCAGUGGCCGAAUCACAAAGGAAAAAGCCCAAGGCCAAGGGGCAGUGAGCCCCACAAGGACAUCCAGGCAGUUGUUAGUUAUGGAUCAUGCACUACUUGUCCUGUUUUGACCCAUUUUGCUCAGCCACCUUGCAUUAAUCCCUUCCCCUCUCCCAGCCUGAGACUGGCAACUUGGCUGCUGCCACCACCCCAAAAAUCAACUCCCACCCCAAGCACAUGCCCCAAAAAAGGUUAAGUCACCCACCCAUCUGAACCAACCCCACCUGAAAACCCCUGAGCUUCCAGACCAUGCCCCAGAGGGUGAACACCACCCCGCAAAUCUGUCCCUGAGGGGCAACACCCCACUGGAUCCACCUCCACCCCUGCCUUAGCUGUAAUAUUACCGUUAUUAAAGGAAGCAGAGUAGUUAAGAAAGCACAGCUCGAUUCUGAACACACCUUGACCCACCAGCACCACGCUGAAAUCCCCUGGCAGCACAAGCACAUUCCAGCUACAGCGUCACCAGGCUGGUCAUCGCAGGGAAGCUGGCAGCUUGCUUGAUUGCCUGCAGAAAGCAUUAGGAAACGGGUUGAGGAUACGGUGAGUGCAAGGCAGGGUCAAAGCCAGCCCCAGAAAGGUGCUCAGAUGCCUGGAAGCAUUACAGCGGCCAGCCAAGGCCAAGCACUGCUGUUGCCACGUCAGGGGCUGCAGAGACUGUCACACAGACGCGAAUCCAAAGAAAGCAGCUCGCGGAAGGAAGCCACAUAAGGAGUAACAAGCCACAGGCCUACGAAGCCCACCCAACAGAGGGUUUAGCGUGAGAGGGGGCGAGGAGAGGGCGCAGCAGAGAGGAAAGAAACACCCUGGAAACGGUGGAAAGGCAGCCCUGCAUGCAGAAGUGCCUGCUCAAGGGCUGUCCCGCAUCCUCAUCUGCUGGGGUUUAAAUCAGGCAGAGCAAAGCAAGCCUGCGUCUGACCGCAUCGGCCUGGCGCCUGUCAGACGAUGCAGGCUCCUGUGUCAGUUUUUUGGGGAUACAAACCUCUUUCAGGCUUCACUGGGUCACUCCCGCAUAUUCUUCAUGAAGCUGGUGGGAGCCCAAAGCACAUGGAGAAUCUCAACAUUAAAUAAAAACCUCUGAUGUAUUUUAACGGGCA